rnacentral:rRNA from 1 species
UACAGAGGGGGCAAGCGUUGUUCGGAAUUACUGGGCGUAAAGGGCGCGUAGGCGGCCGUCUAAGUCAGACGUGAAAUCCCUCGGCUCAACCGGGGAACUGCGUCUGAGACUGGAAGGCUUGAAUUCGGGAGAGGGAUGUGGAAUUCCAGGUGUAGCAGUGAAAUGCGUAGAUAUCUGGAGGAACACCGGUGGCGAAGGCGGGAUCGUCUGGGCCGUAGUACUGACGCU